AGCUCAGGACGAACGCUGGCGGCGUGCCUAAUACAUGCAAGUCGAGCGGACAGAAGGGAGCUUGCUCCCGGAUGUUAGCGGCGGACGGGUGAGUAACACGUGGGUAACCUGCCUGUAAGACUGGGAUAACUCCGGGAAACCGGAGCUAAUACCGGAUAGUUCCUUGAACCGCAUGGUUCAAGGAUGAAAGACGGUUUCGGCUGUCACUUACAGAUGGACCCGCGGCGCAUUAGCUAGUUGGUGAGGUAACGGCUCACCAAGGCGACGAUGCGUAGCCGACCUGAGAGGGUGAUCGGCCACACUGGGACUGAGACACGGCCCAGACUCCUACGGGAGGCAGCAGUAGGGAAUCUUCCGCAAUGGACGAAAGUCUGACGGAGCAACGCCGCGUGAGUGAUGAAGGUUUUCGGAUCGUAAAGCUCUGUUGUUAGGGAAGAACAAGUGCAAGAGUAACUGCUUGCACCUUGACGGUACCUAACCAGAAAGCCACGGCUAACUACGUGCCAGCAGCCGCGGUAAUACGUAGGUGGCAAGCGUUGUCCGGAAUUAUUGGGCGUAAAGGGCUCGCAGGCGGUUUCUUAAGUCUGAUGUGAAAGCCCCCGGCUCAACCGGGGAGGGUCAUUGGAAACUGGGAAACUGAGGCAGAAGAUUGAGUGCAGAAGAGGAGAGUGGAAUUCCACGUGUAGCGGUGAAAUGCGUAGAGAUGUGGAGGAACACCAGUGGCGAAGGCGACUCUCUGGUCUGUAACUGACGCUGAGGAGCGAAAGCGUGGGGAGCGAACAGGAUUAGAUACCCUGGUAGUCCACGCCGUAAACGAUGAGUGCUAAGUGUUAGGGGGUUUCCGCCCCUUAGUGCUGCAGCUAACGCAUUAAGCACUCCGCCUGGGGAGUACGGUCGCAAGACUGAAACUCAAAGGAAUUGACGGGGGCCCGCACAAGCGGUGGAGCAUGUGGUUUAAUUCGAAGCAACGCGAAGAACCUUACCAGGUCUUGACAUCCUCUGACAACCCUAGAGAUAGGGCUUUCCCUUCGGGGACAGAGUGACAGGUGGUGCAUGGUUGUCGUCAGCUCGUGUCGUGAGAUGUUGGGUUAAGUCCCGCAACGAGC
rnacentral:rRNA from 1 species